rnacentral:rRNA from 1 species
GACGAACGCUGGCGGCGUGCCUAAUACAUGCAAGUCGAGCGGACUCAUCCCUUCGGGGAUGGGUUAGCGGCGGACGGGUGAGUAACACGUAGGUAACCUGCCUGUAAGAUCGGGAUAACUAUCGGAAACGAUAGCUAAGACCGAAUAAUUGAUUCUGGUGCAUGCCGGGAUUAUGAAACACGGUUCCGAAUUUAUUCGAGGGCUGUGGCUUACGGAUGGGCCUGCGGCGCAUUAGCUAGUUGGUGAGGUAAUGGCUCACCAAGGCGACGAUGCGUAGCCGACCUGAGAGGGUGAACGGCCACACUGGGACUGAGACACGGCCCAGACUCCUACGGGAGGCAGCAGUAGGGAAUCUUCCGCAAUGGACGCAAGUCUGACGGAGCAACG